GACGAACGCUGGCGGCGUGCUUAACACAUGCAAGUCGAACGGAAAGGCCCUGCUUUUGUGGGGUGCUCGAGUGGCGAACGGGUGAGUAACACGUGAGUAACCUGCCCUUGACUUUGGGAUAACUUCAGGAAACUGGGGCUAAUACCGGAUAGGAGCUCCUGCUGCAUGGUGGGGGUUGGAAAGUUUCGGCGGUUGGGGAUGGACUCGCGGCUUAUCAGCUUGUUGGUGGGGUAGUGGCUUACCAAGGCUUUGACGGGUAGCCGGCCUGAGAGGGUGACCGGCCACAGUGGGACUGAGAUACGGCCCAGACUCCUACGGGAGGCAGCAGUGGGGAAUAUUGCACAAUGGGCGGAAGCCUGAUGCAGCAACGCCGUGUGCGGGAUGACGGCCUUCGGGUUGUAAACCGCUUUCGCCUGUGACGAAGCGUGAGUGACGGUAAUGGGUAAAGAAGCACCGGCUAACUACGUG
rnacentral:rRNA from 1 species